ensembl:lncRNA
AUGGGGAGUGGCCACUGCCCACCGGCUGCAUGCUACAGGGACUUGGGGUCUCCUUUGCCUCCCAAAGCUGGGUGCAGACCCCAUCCCCCGGGGCCGGCGUGCCCGACUCCGGCCGCUCCCGUGUUCCCGAAGCUGAUGCCGAAUGCCAGGCCUGGCUUCCCUGUCAGGCAGGGCACCGGUUUCAUUUUCCCUGCCAGUGUUUGGCUGCUGGCAAGGGUCUCCCCAGGCGCGGAGCUCGGCCUCUCUUUCUGGCUCCCCAGUGCCCCUCCCCCGCCUUCCCGCCCAUGUCACGGCUGCCACUUACUGAGCCCCUGCUGUGUGCCAGGCACUUUACCCACCUGCUCCCGACGUGUCCUCGUGACAGCCCUGGGGGCCGGGGAUCCUCUCCCACCUUCUCCGGUGCAGACACUGGAGUCCACGUGUCCAGCGGCCAUGCUGCCCCGGGCUGCACUCUGCCCUGGCCACUGCUACUGCCACUUCAGGGUGACGACGCCAAGAAUGGUGGGCGAAGCAGGGAGGGGACCUGCAAGAGAGAGGCCAGGUUCCUGGAAAGAGGUCUCACUGCUCCCCAGAGGCCCUAGAACGGUGGGGGCCAGAGGGAGUCCAGGCGGGACUGGCAGAGAGGCCGCAGGCUGCCCUGGGGGGAGGGGUGGCCGUGAUGCUGCCCGGUGGCUUCCCCACCUGUGCAGAGGGGUGUGGCAGCCCUGCCACAUCCUUCCUGGGGUCUGAGCCUCACGCUGCCCUGUGAGGGGCGUGCACUGGUGGUCUCUGAGGACCCCUCCCACACACACACACAUGCUCGGCAGUGGACAUCUUCCUGCAAACCCAGCCUGCCUCCCACCUCACCCUCCUGGUCAUGGCCUGGACCCCCGGUCGUGUGCCAGGGCGGGGAAGAAGCCACCAUGGGAGGGCCCCUGCCAGACCCCACGGCUCCUCCGGUCCCGCCCCUGCCCUCACCCAGGGAGGAGACGGAACCAGGAACGGAGGCGGUGCAGUUUGUACAGUUAGGAAGGGGUGUACAACGGAACUAGGUUUUGAUUUGAGUUUUGAAGAGUGUAUUAACCAGAGUUGUGACAUGUAGGUGUUUGAAGAAGAAAAAACAUACCAGGUUAGUCUUUUUGUUGUUGUUAAACAGAUUCGCCAGUUGGCCUUUCUCCCCCAGCUGGGCGCCCUGGUGUCCCCGAGAGCCGAGUGCCUGCCUCGCUGACACGCAGUGAGGCCGGAGGGACGCGGGGGAGGCAGGCCUAGGGCCAAGGCCCUCAGUGACCUCCGGGAACCCUGCCUCCGCAGUUGCACGCAGGAAAUGGGUAUAGCCCGGGGUGGACGGAGACCCUGAGGGACUGGGAACCCGAUGUAGGGUCUCCAUACCCGAUGGAAGCCACCCUCGAAACCCAGGCGCACGAGACUCACCGACGGGGGCCACAGCUCACGGACAGGCACUCCCGAGGGGUAGUCACAUGUGUCCCACUCCGCGCGUCACUGGGCCUCCCUGCCCCCAGACCUCCCACCACUCCCUCCCGUGUUUCGCAUUUCUGUUCACUCAGAAUUGUAAAUGUUUAGUU